rnacentral:ncRNA from 1 species
GAGAAACCGUUGAGAAAGAGUAGUAAGCUUGAUUGGAAAUCAAAGAGAGCUGCAGGUGGUGGAAUUGCAGUAUGGAAGAUUUUGCUGAAUGGACUUUCGAGGGUGGCCUGAAUUAACAGUAGGCGUCACCGGGAACCGAACCCGUUACCAAUCCGGCAUGUAUGAUUCGUACAUGAAUGAGUGGACAAUUCGUCAAUAUGAGUGGUACCGCGAUAAUAAGAUUUUAUUACCGUCUCAAGC